AGGGGACCCCGAGUGCGAGGGCAUACAGUCCUCGCUUUUCUCCACCGUAAGGUGGUGGAAGAAUAAGGGCUGGGCAAGACCGGUGCCAGCCGCCGCGGUAAUACCGGCAGCCCGAGUGAUGGCCGAUAUUAUUGGGCCUAAAGCGUCCGUAGCCGGCCGGGGAGGUCCGUCGGGAAAUCCACCAGCUCAACUGGUGGGCGUCCGGCGGAAACCCCCUGGCUUGGGACCGGAAGACCCGAGGGGUACGUCCGGGGUAGGAGUGAAAUCCCGUAAUCCCGGACGGACCGCCGAUGGCGAAAGCACCUCGGGAAGACGGAUCCGACGGUGAGGGACGAAAGCUGGGGUCUCGAACCGGAUUAGAUACCCGGGUAGUCCCAGCCGUAAACGAUGCCUGCUAGGUGUGGCACUGGCUACGAGCCAGUGCUGUGCCGUAGGGAAGCCGAGAAGCAGGCCGCCUGGGAAGUACGUCCGCAAGGAUGAAACUUAAAGGAAUUGGCGGGGGAGCAC
rnacentral:rRNA from 1 species